rnacentral:lncRNA from 1 species
GGGACUUAUGCUUUUAUCUGUCGUGCUCAAUUCUUUGUUUACAAUGAGAACAUAUUCGUUUACCACUUCUGCAAAUGAAAUUGCUUAAAACUGAAUUGGCGGGAGCUCCCUGGUGGUCUAAUGAAUUAAGGAUCCAGCCUUGUCCCUGCAGUGGCUCAGGUUUGAUCCCUGGUCUGAGAACUUCCACAUGCCAUGGUCAAGACCAAAAUAUCCAAAAACCAAAAAACUGAAUUGGCAUGCUCUGCAGAGGGUUAAAGAUGAGGGUUUGAGUUUCCCCUGGAAUCUGAUUAAACCGAGAUGUGAAGGCAGUCAUACACCACCCAGCCUAGACUUUCAGCAUUUGGAACAAGCCCGUCUCCACUCCCACCAGCCAAACAGGGAAGAAGGACAGUUAAGGGGUAAAGCUGCAGGUCCAUCUGUGGUGAUGCUGCCUUGUGGAAAUCAGCCCCGGAGAGAACUAGACUGGGGCUGUUGCUACACUGUUUCUUUUUAGCGCCUUAUCUGCAGCAUAAGGAAGUUACAAGGCUAGGUGUUGAAUUGGAGCUGUGGCUGCUGGCCUAUCAGCCACACCAGAUCCAGGCCCCAUCUGUGGCCAGGGAUUGAACCCACAUCCUCAUGGGUACUAAUCAGGUUCUUAACCAGCUGAGUCACAACUCCUAGUUUCUCUAAGACUCCUGCCUUCUAAGCUCAGCUUCCUCUAAAGAAAUUGGUAAAUGCCUCCUUUGAAGACCAAAGGAGGAUAAAUGCUAGAACUGAAAAGGCAUCAAGUCUAGGUAGAGGUUGAGAGGACAGGCAGCCUCUGGCCUCAACAGGAUUAUAGUGCUGGCUUCUACUUUCCUGAUAGGUGACAAGGGACACUGAACUUUUCUCAGCCUUGGUUGACAAAACUAAUGUGGAGACAAAGCAAUUCACUCAUGAAGGACCUGAGGUGUUUUGCUGGGUUUACAGGGCAGGGAGCCUUGCUGCAGGGCAAGAAUGGGCAUCUGCACACGUUAGUAGAGAUGGACAGUGAGGGAGUGGCUGCUCUUCAGAAAAAGAACCCACAAGGAGUUUCCGUCAUGGCUCAGCAGGUUAAGGAACUGACUAGUAUCCAUGAGGUUGCAGAAUCAAUCCCUGGCCUCGCUCAUUGGAUCAGUGAGGAUCCAGCUGUGGCACAGGUCGAAGAUGCAGCUCAGAUCUGGCGUUGCUGUGAGCUGCAGUGAAGGCCGGCAGCUGCAGCUCCAGAUUCGACCCCUAGCUCGGGAACUUCCAUAUGGCAAAGGUGUGGCCCUGUAAAGAAAAAAAAAAAAACCACCCAGGAGCCGCUGUAGUAACACCAGAUUCUUAAGCGACUGCAUCACAAGAACUCCUUUCCAUCAACUCUAUUGCCAUGCACCUUUCCAAGCACUGGAGACGCACCUGGAAACAAAUCUCUGCUCCCUGGAGACACAGUCUAAUAGAGAGGGGGGAAAAAGCAAAUAAAAGAGCAAAAUUUAUGCCAGACUGAGGGCUAAAGAGAAAAAACAGGGGUAAAAGCUAAGGCAUGGAAGAGUACAAUUUAAAUUCCUGUGAUGAGGAAAGAACUCACUAGGCUGACAGCAAAUCACGUCGGUAUGCGAUGGAAAACAUUCCCAACGGAGGGUACAGCAAGUUAACGUUUCAUAAGGCUGGACAGCAGUCGCUAUAGAAAAAGGGCCCAGCAUGUCGAAGGUCCCAGGCCAGAGAUCAAACCCAUGAUGCAGGUGGGACCUGCACCACACGUUGGACACUUAACCUGCUGCUUCCAAAAAUCUUAUCUUUAAAGCGAGUACUGAGGGAGUUCCUGCUGCGGCUCAGCAGUUACAGAUCCGACUAGUGUCCAUGGGAUUCAGGCCUGAUCCCUGCACUUGCUUAGUUGAUUGAGGAUCUAGCUUUGCUGUGAGCUGUGGUCUAUGUAGGUCAUGGACAUGGCUUGGAUCUGGUGUGGCUGUGGCUGUGGCCGGCAGCUGCAGCUCCUAUUCAACCCCUAGCCUGGGAACUUCCAUGUCACUGGUGCAACCCUAAAAAGCAAAACGGGUUCAAUCCCAGUCCCCCCCAGAAAGUUAAGGAUCUGCAGCUGCAGCUUGGAUCUGAUCCCUGGCCUGGGAACUCCAUAUGCCUCAGGGCCACCAAAAAUUGAAAAAAAUAAAACCACCAGUAGCUGGAAUUACGUUUGGGGACAAUAGAAGAAAAUAGUAAGAGCAAGCAGGACGCAGAAGAGCGACCAGGACAGUAGAGGUGGUGUUAAAGUUGAAACAACAAAAUUUGGUGACAUUAGAUAUGAAAGUUCUAAGAAGCAGUUACAGGGUGUUUCUGCUGUGGGUUAAAGAUCUGGCUUGUCUUGGAGUU